rnacentral:rRNA from 1 species
UACGUAGGGCGCAAGCGUUGUCCGGAAUUAUUGGGCGUAAAGAGCUCGUAGGCGGCUUGUCGCGUCGGCUGUGAAAACCUGGGGCUCAACCCCGGGCCUGCAGCCGAUACGGGCAAGCUAGAAUUCGGUAGGGGAGACUGGAAUUCCUGGUGUAGCGGUGAAAUGCGCAGAUAUCAGGAGGAACACCGGUGGCGAAGGCGGGUCUCUGGGCCGAUAUUGACGCUGAGGAGCGAAAGCAUGGGGAGCGAACAGG